GAUGAAGAACGUAGCGAAAUGCGAUACGUAAUGUGAAUUGCAGAAUUCAGUGAAUCAUCGAAUCUUUGAACGCAUAUUGCGCUCUCUGGUAUUCCGGAGAGCAUGCUUGUUUGAGUAUCAGUAAACACCUCAACUUCCAUAUCUUUUUUGAAAUGGGAGUUGGACUUGAGUGAUCCCAACGCUUUUCCUCACCGAAAAGUGGCGGGUUACUUGAAAUGCAGGUGCAGCUGGACUGUUCUCUGAGCUAUAAGCAUAUCUAUUUAGUCUGCCUAAAAACAGAUUAUUACCUUUGCUGCAGCUAACAUAAAGGAGAUUAGUUCUUGUGCUGACUGAUGCAGGAUUCACAAAGACAGGCUUCGGCCGACUUUGUAAACUCGAUCUCAAAUCAAGUAAGACUACCCGCUGAACUUAAGCAUAUCAAUAAGCGGAGGA
rnacentral:misc_RNA from 1 species